rnacentral:rRNA from 1 species
UUGCACGCUGGCGGCCGGCCUAACACAUGCAAGUCGAACGGUAACAGGAAGAAGCUUGCUUCUUUGCUGACGAGUGGCGGACGGGUGAGUAAUGUCUGGGAAACUGCCUGAUGGAGGGGGAUAACUACUGGAAACGGUAGCUAAUACCGCAUAACGUCGCAAGACCAAAGAGGGGGACCUUCGGGCCUCUUGCCAUCGGAUGUGCCCAGAUGGGAUUAGCUAGUAGGUGGGGUAACGGCUCACCUAGGCGACGAUCCCUAGCUGGUCUGAGAGGAUGACCAGCCACACUGGAACUGAGACACGGUCCAGACUCCUACGGGAGGCAGCAGUGGGGAAUAUUGCACAAUGGGCGCAAGCCUGAUGCAGCCAUGCCGCGUGUAUGAAGAAGGCCUUCGGGUUGUAAAGUACUUUCAGCGGGGAGGAAGGGAGUAAAGUUAAUACCUUUGCUCAUUGACGUUACCCGCAGAAGAAGCACCGGCUAACUCCGUG